AACGAACGCUGGCGGCAUGCCUAACACAUGCAAGUCGAACGAGACCUUCGGGUCUAGUGGGGCAGGGGUGCGUAACGCGUUGGAACCUGCCCUUAGGUUCGGAAUAACUCCCCGAAAGGGGCGCUAAUACCGGAUAAUAUCAUCGGACCAAAGAUUUAUUGCCUUGGGAUGGGCUCGCGUUGGUUAGCUAGUUGGUAGGGUAAAAGCCUACCAAGGGGACGAUCCAUAGCGGGUCUGAGAGGCUGAUCAGUCACUCUGGGACUGAGACGCGGCCCAGACUCCUACGGGAGGCAGCAGUGGGUGAUAUGGGACAAUGGGCGGAGUCCUGAUGCAGCACUGCCGCGUGAGUGAUGAAGGCCUUAGGGUUGUCAAGCUCUUUUACCCGGGAUGAUAAUGACAGUACCGGCAGAAUAAGCUCCGGCUAACUACGUG
rnacentral:rRNA from 1 species